AACUGAUACUACCUGCGGGAACCUGCGGAGGGAUCAUUAUUGAAUAAUAACGGAUGGGUUGUAGCUGGUCCUUUGGGACAUGUGCACACCUGUCUUUGUUCUAUUCAUCCACCUGUGCACCAUUUGUAGUCUAUUGAGGGCUGAAAACAUUGAACUAUCAGUUGAGAGACUGGAUAAGAGAAUUGCAUGUACUUUCAGCGCACUGCUUUUCUUGAGGAUGUGUGUUCUCCCUUGAAGGAC
rnacentral:misc_RNA from 1 species